AGAAUCGUAUGUUCACAGUAGUUGACCAAUACGGCCUUUUAUGCAUUGUCGUUUACUCAUUUAUGACAACCAAAACAGCCGCUAAACAGCCUCCAUAGUUGUCCAUACAGACCUUACUGGCUAUUGUCUGCAGUGGCAGCAAAGUUUCGAUGGUCACAAGGCUGCCCAAUUUAUUGUGGAAGAGAGCUACAAUUUCGAUCACAUUUAGCCACAGAUCUAUAACUAGUAGGUAGUAGGUACCAAUAGCUAUAGAUCUGUGAAUUCAGAUCCAUGUUUAGUUGUUAUUUUAGACAUUUUAGUUUUGCCUAAUUAAUUAACUGAGUAAGAGAGCAAGUGUGUUGGCUGAACAUUGUUAAUGGUACCAUAUGAACUAACUAAUUAUUGAUCUUUACUAUCCAAUAGGUGCUGAGCUAGUUGUUGAUUGGUAAACAACCUUUAAUAUGCAAUUUCUUCUCAAAUGUAGCUACAAUGAACAUGGAUAUUUGUACAUUUCAAUCAAAAACACUUGAAUUAUUGCUUGAAGAAUAUCUACCAGAAUAAAAAUAAGUAUUGUUUGACCAUGUGUGUUGCAAAAGUAUUUAUAUUCAGAAAAAAAUGCUGACAAUGAAAAUCAGUAAAGUGAAAAGAGUAUUAAACAGAUUUAAGUUCAAAACAUAUGUAAAGUUUGAUAGAGAAAUGUGAUAAACGUUCAGAUAUAUGAUAUGUAGAAAACAUUGUUAGAGAAAAAAGAUAGAUAGGGGGACGGAUAACGCGUCGGUUACAACGCGCACCGUCGCCAGUUCGAACCUCGGUCACGGCCGGCACUUCUCUCCGGGCAGUCACGGUGUCUGGAGAGAGAGGCCGCCAUCCCCCAACCGGG